rnacentral:rRNA from 1 species
GCACCACAAGAACGCGUGGAGCAUGUGGCUUAAUUUGACUCAACGCGGGAAAUCUUACCGGGUCCGGACACACUGAGGAUUGACAGGUAUUAUAUAGCACACUUCGGUGUGUCUAUUGUUAAAUAUGCUAGUCCUUUCAUGAUUAUGUGAUAGGUGGUGCAUGGCCGUUCUUAGUUCGUGGAGUGAUCUGUCUGCUUAAUUGCGUUUCAGAUAAGGAUCUAUAUUCUUUACAGUGCUGCAGUCGUAAUUGACCCCUUUCUCACGAGAGUGUGUGUCUUUUUGCGCUCACACUUUACAUUAGUCCUGAAAGCAACGAACGUGACCGCAACCUCUUGUUGCCUCAUCUCCCC